CAACCGGCUUUUUUCAGAGCCACCAAUAACCAAAACAUCACACCU
rfam:Amphimedon queenslandica AMPQTscaffold_13180_Cont6557, whole genome shotgun sequence.